AAAGGACGACAUUAGACGAAUCAUCUGGAAAGAUGAAUCAAAGAAGGUAAUAAUCCUGUAGUCGAAAAUGUUGUCUCUCUUGAGUGGAUCCUGAGUACGACGGAGCACGUGAAAUUCCGUCGGAAUCUGGGAGGACCAUCUCCUAAGGCUAAAUACUCUCUAGUGACCGAUAGUGAACCAGUACCGUGAGGGAAAGGUGAAAAGCACCCCGGAAGGGGAGUGAAAUAGAACCUGAAACCGUGUGCUUACAAGUAGUCAGAGCCCGUUAAUGGGUGAUGGCGUGCCUUUUGUAGAAUGAACCGGCGAGUUACGAUUUGAUGCAAGGUUAAGCAGUAAAUGUGGAGCCGUAGCGAAAGCGAGUCUGAAUAGGGCGUUUAGUAUUUGGUCGUAGACCCGAAACCAGGUGAUCUACCCUUGGUCAGGUUGAAGUUCAGGUAACACUGAAUGGAGGACCGAACCGACUUACGUUGAAAAGUGAGCGGAUGAACUGAGGGUAGCGGAGAAAUUCCAAUCGAACCUGGAGAUAGCUGGUUCUCUCCGAAAUAGCUUUAGGGCUAGCCUCAAGUGAUGAUUAUUGGAGGUAGAGCACUGUUUGGACGAGGGGCCCCUCUCGGGUUACCGAAUUCAGACAAACUCCGAAUGCCAAUUAAUUUAACUUGGGAGUCAGAACAUGGGUGAUAAGGUCCGUGUUCGAAAGGGAAACAGCCCAGACCACCAGCUAAGGUCCCAAAAUAUAUGUUAAGUGGAAAAGGAUGUGGCGUUGCCCAGACAACUAGGAUGUUGGCUUAGAAGCAGCCAUCAUUUAAAGAGUGCGUAAUAGCUCACUAGUCGAGUGACACUGCGCCGAAAAUGUACCGGGGCUAAACAUAUUACCGAAGCUGUGGAUUGUCCUUUGGACAAUGGUAGGAGAGCGUUCUAAGGGCGUUGAAGCAUGAUCGUAAGGACAUGUGGAGCGCUUAGAAGUGAGAAUGCCGGUGUGAGUAGCGAAAGACGGGUGAGAAUCCCGUCCACCGAUUGACUAAGGUUUCCAGAGGAAGGCUCGUCCGCUCUGGGUUAGUCGGGUCCUAAGCUGAGGCCGACAGGCGUAGGCGAUGGAUAACAGGUUGAUAUUCCUGUACCACCUAUAAUCGUUUUAAUCGAUGGGGGGACGCAGUAGGAUAGGCGAAGCGUGCGAUUGGAUUGCACGUCUAAGCAGUAAGGCUGAGUAUUAGGCAAAUCCGGUACUCGUUAAGGCUGAGCUGUGAUGGGGAGAAGACAUUGUGUCUUCGAGUCGUUGAUUUCACACUGCCGAGAAAAGCCUCUAGAUAGAAAAUAGGUGCCCGUACCGCAAACCGACACAGGUAGUCAAGAUGAGAAUUCUAAGGUGAGCGAGCGAACUCUCGUUAAGGAACUCGGCAAAAUGACCCCGUAACUUCGGGAGAAGGGGUGCUCUUUAGGGUUAACGCCCAGAAGAGCCGCAGUGAAUAGGCCCAAGCGACUGUUUAUCAAAAACACAGGUCUCUGCUAAACCGUAAGGUGAUGUAUAGGGGCUGACGCCUGCCCGGUGCUGGAAGGUUAAGAGGAGUGGUUAGCUUCUGCGAAGCUACGAAUCGAAGCCCCAGUAAACGGCGGCCGUAACUAUAACGGUCCUAAGGUAGCGAAAUUCCUUGUCGGGUAAGUUCCGACCCGCACGAAAGGCGUAACGAUUUGGGCACUGUCUCAACGAGAGAUUCGGUGAAAUCAUAGUACCUGUGAAGAUGCAGGUUACCCGCGACAGGACGGAAAGACCCCGUGGAGCUUUACUGUAGCCUGAUAUUGAAAUUCGGCACAGCUUGUACAGGAUAGGUAGGAGCCUUUGAAACGUGAGCGCUAGCUUACGUGGAGGCGCUGGUGGGAUACUACCCUAGCUGUGUUGGCUUUCUAACCCGCACCACUUAUCGUGGUGGGAGACAGUGUCAGGCGGGCAGUUUGACUGGGGCGGUCGCCUCCUAAAAGGUAACGGAGGCGCUCAAAGGUUCCCUCAGAAUGGUUGGAAAUCAUUCAUAGAGUGUAAAGGCAUAAGGGAGCUUGACUGCGAGACCUACAAGUCGAGCAGGGUCGAAAGACGGACUUAGUGAUCCGGUGGUUCCGCAUGGAAGGGCCAUCGCUCAACGGAUAAAAGCUACCCCGGGGAUAACAGGCUUAUCUCCCCCAAGAGUUCACAUCGACGGGGAGGUUUGGCACCUCGAUGUCGGCUCAUCGCAUCCUGGGGCUGUAGUCGGUCCCAAGGGUUGGGCUGUUCGCCCAUUAAAGCGGUACGCGAGCUGGGUUCAGAACGUCGUGAGACAGUUCGGUCCCUAUCCGUCGUGGGCGUAGGAAAUUUGAGAGGAGCUGUCCUUAGUACGAGAGGACCGGGAUGGACAUACCUCUGGUGUACCAGUUGUCGUGCCAACGGCAUAGCUGGGUAGCUAUGUGUGGACGGGAUAAGUGCUGAAAGCAUCUAAGCAUGAAGCCCCCCUCAAGAUGAGAUUUCCCAACUUCGGUUAUAAGAUCCCUCAAAGAUGAUGAGGUUAAUAGGUUCGAGGUGGAAGCAUGGUGACAUGUGGAGCUGACGAAUACUAAUCGAUCGAAGACUUAAUCAA
rnacentral:rRNA from 1 species